AAAGGAAAGUGGACACCGAAAGUAGAGCAUUUAACCCUCAAUGGACGGACUCGUUUCUGUUCAUACUUCCCACUACAGCACUAAACCAGUGUCUGAUAUGCUCCGAACCCAUUGAAAUGCCAUCAUGUGGCUCAAUGAGCUUCUCCGCCUGAGGAGGAGAACGGCCCUGAUGUAUUCCGGUCCAGGUUUUAAAUCCUGGCAUUUAUAAUUUGCAGAGACUGUCCAAAUGUGAAGCAGAAAUUUAAGCUCAUCUUCCCGUUAUUUUAUUUUUUCUGAAUCGAAGCACUGAACAUGCAGAAAUUUAAAUGCAGCCCUACUUUUAUUUAGUCAAUUGAGACAUUAUAGACAGUGGAGAUGGUUGUGGAUUUCCGAAGGAACACAGCCCCACCUUCCCUGUGUGUGUUAGGGACCCGGUUUUAUUAACAGUUUUUUCCCCCAGUCUGUGCUUUUGUUUUUGCUUGUUUUGUUUUUCCACCUGUGUGUUCCGCCUCCGGCCCCACCCCUCUCCCACGUGCCCAGCUGUGGCUCAUUCCGGGGAUCACUGGUGACGAGCAUAAAGGCUCCUGCUUUCAGAGGCUCGUCGUCGUCGUCAGUCCGUCCCAGUACCCAGGCUGGUCUCAGGUGCCGUUGAUACUGAGAUACAGCAGCUAAGCCAGUUUAUUCAUGUUUUGGUUUGUUUUUGUGUCAGACCCACGGAGUACCACGGAGUGCACGUAACCUGCUUUUGAGUUGGACUGUGAGUAUGGUGUCGGGCCUCGGGUUUCCACACCAGACCCUGCUUGAGCCACCCCAGACCGCCAGACGUCGGUGGAGUUUCCCUCCCGACUCCAGUUGAGCCAGAGGAGCGCUUUCUGUUUGCCGUAUUCCCCUUGUUUUUUUGUGAAAAAUUAAGUCAUUUGGCUGAAAAUCCAAGGCUGCUGUGCGUGUGCUUUUGGGUCCACCAAAUACACCCCACCCCCUAACAGUGUGAUUCCACUGCUGUGGACUCCUUCCGUUUCCUGGCCUCCAUCAUAUCCAAGGCCCUCAAGUCCAUCACCAAGAAGGCUCAUCAGAGGCUGUUAUUCCUGAGGUCCUGAGGCUAAGGAGAUGGCUGUAAACCAGGAAAAGAGAGUCAGAAAACGUACAGUUUUUAGGGAUUUUGUCCAAAAUGUUUCAACUGAUGAUGACAACACAAUUUCAAAGGGAGCUGUAGCGCGUUCUAGGAACUCUACAGGAAAUCCUUCACAGUUUUUGUUUCAGAAGUCUGCCAGUGCCUCCCCAAAAUUAAAAAAAAAAAAACACAAAUACAUCAACCUCUCCACCACCACACAGUCUUUAUCCUGGGUCUGAGGAUCUUUUCCAGACUGAAGAGAAAGGCAGCGGCCACACAACUUUCUCCAACACCUUCAUGGCUGUCGUAGCAUCUUUGGAUGACACGUGGGUUUCAGAUGGAAUCUCCACUCCUCGCACCCCCAAUCCUGUCUCGGCAAGGAAAUCUGGAAGACAAUCCCCCAGUCAAAUGUGGAAAGGCAAAAAGGGUAUAUUUUUCCCAUGUCCACAGCAAGUAAGUAAACGCUUUGCCAAUUCUAUAUUUGUCUGUAAUAUAUUCAUCAAUGACCAUGCAAACAACAUUUUAUGAAUUUGUUGUUUUUGUAAGAAUUCCAAAGGGUGGUCCUUGGGAAGUCAAGGUGGACCUGACGGAAGAGGUUCACCAAAUUAGAAGGGAGGUGGAGCCCGACGGUUUUAUCCACGAGGUCCCAAAAUUAAAACUGCAAGUGGAACUUGAUGUGCUGGAGGGGACAUUAAAAGAUGCAGACCAGCGGACAUCAUUGGUAAAAAUUAGAUAAUGGUUAAACUUUUUGGAAAUGUAUUUUUACAAAAGAGGUUAUUUAUUUAUUUCAGACCCAGAGGGAUCCAUAAUACAGUGCAAAGCAGACACACAUUGUAAUAGAUACAAAAAACUAAAAAUAAAUAAAAAGAAUAGCAAUACAACGUAUAAAACCCUUCAACAGUUCAUUGUCUAACAUACUUGUUCUCCAGUGGUUCCACAACCUGGACGCAAAUCUUACAGAACUUAGUCCUGUGUUAGCCAACACAAUGAUUAUGUCAUUUUCUGACUCCGAUACCCUAUCCAUUAAUCUGUACAUCAAGUUGCGCAAUACUGCAGUACAGGUACUUUUCAUGUAAACAAUAUUAACACAUUAAGAAAUACCUUAAAACACAUAUACACAAUUUUGACAGGUUCAUUUGCUGGCCAAAGUAGGGGGCAAGACGGUGAAGGAUGCAACCAAUAAAAUAUUGGACAGGUAUGAACAUCAUACAGACACUGUAAUAUCUGCCAAAUAUAGAAGUCAAAAGUAAACCAUAAACAAACAACUGAAAUUGCAGGGAUACAUUAUGGAGGAAUUACUGGCAGUUGAAAAUGCGGAAGUGACCCUAUUUUGUGAUUCUCAGACUUUUCACAAACCAAUUAAUGCCCACUUUCAACAUGAAAGGGGGUGGCCAAAAAAACAAGAAGGCUUUUAGGGUUACUGGGCUGUACGCGGUGAUUAAAAGGUAUGUUCAGAUAUGUAAAAUACAUUUAAUGAGUGGUUGUACUGUAAAAGUCUAUUUUCAUGUUGAUAUAUAAUCAAUAAGGCUGUCAUGCGGCCAUACAGCAGUGCCACAGAGGCAGAGGUUAAUAAGGCGAUGGCGGACCAUUUGAAGCAGGCUCCUGGGAGGUCCGGUGGGGGCGGUUUUUAAAAAAGGAGACGUCACAGACCGGACGUAACUAGUUCAAUUGUUGGAUCAGAAUGUUCUUUUGCAGUUUCAGUUCACAUGUAUAUUUCUUUUAAAUAUUUUUAUAUUUUAUGAAAUACUCAUAUUUAGACUUGUAUGAUUGUUUUUAAGAAUCAUUAUGUAUGUUGUAAUUAUAUUGUUUAUUAA
ensembl:lncRNA